GCUCAGUAACACGUGGAUAACCUACCCUUAGGACCGGGAUAACCUUGGGAAACUGAGGAUAAUACUGGAUAGGCAAUUAUUCCUGCAAUGGUUUUUUGUUUAAAUGUUUUUUCGCCUAAGGAUGGGUCUGCGGCCGAUUAGGUAGUUGGUUAGGUAAUGGCUUACCAAGCCAUUGAUCGGUACGGGUUGUGAGAGCAAGAGCCCGGAGAUGGAACCUGAGACAAGGUUCCAGGCCCUACGGGGUGCAGCAGGCGCGAAACCUCCGCAAUGUGAGAAAUCGCGACGGGGGGAUCCCAAGUGCCAUUCUUAACGGGAUGGCUUUUCAUUAGUGUAAAGAGCUUUUGGAAUAAGAGCUGGGCAAGACCGGUGCCAGCCGCCGCGGUAACACCGGCAGCUCUAGUGGUAGCAGUUUUUAUUGGGCCUAAAGCGUCCGUAGCCGGUUUAAUAAGUCUCUGGUGAAAUCCUGUAGCUUAACUGUGGGAAUUGCUGGAGAUACUAUUAGACUUGAGAUCGGGAGAGGUUAGAGGUACUCCCAGGGUAGAGGUGAAAUUCUGUAAUCCUGGGAGGACCGCCUGUUGCGAAGGCUUCUAACUGGAACGAUUCUGACGGUGAGGGACGAAAGUUAGGGGCGCGAACCGGAUUAGAUACGCGGGUAGUCCUAACUGUAAACGAUGCGGACUUGGUGUUGGGGUGGCUUUGAGCUGCUCCAGUGCCGAAAGGGAAGCUGUUAAGUCCGCCGCCUGGAAGUACGGUCGCAAGACUGAAACUUAAAGGAGUUGGCGGGGGAGCACCACAACGCGU
rnacentral:rRNA from 1 species